rnacentral:rRNA from 1 species
GACGAACGCUGGCGGCGUGCUUAACACAUGCAAGUCGAGCGAUGAGACGGGGGCUUGGACUCGCGGAUGAGUGGCGAACGGGCGUGUAACACGUGAGUAACCUGUCCUUUUCUUUGUGGUAACGGCUGGAGACGGCUGCUAAUACUGGAUAUUCAGUCUGCAUCGCAUGGUGUGGUUUGGAAAGGACGUUUCUGCGAUUGCGUGGGGUCGCGGCCUCUCAGCUUGAUGGUGGGGUGAUGGCGUAGCAAGGCUUUGACGGGUAGCCGGAGUGAGCGGGUGCGCGGUCGCUGUGGGACGGACCUACGGCCCAGACGCCGCCGGGAGGCAGCAGCGGGGACUAUUGGAGAAUGGAUGAAAGUUUGACGCAGCGUGGCUGCGUGGAGGCUGUAGGCCUUCGGGUUGUGAACUCCUUGUUCUCGCAAUAAAGGCAUAGCUUUGGACGUGUUGACGGUAGUGGGGGAAGAAGCCCCGGCUAACUACGUG